AUUGAACGCUGGCGACAUGCCUUACACAUGCAAGUCGAACGGCAGCACGGGUGCUUGCACCUGGUGGCGAGUGGCGAACGGGUGAGUAAUACAUCGGAACAUGUCCUGUAGUGGGGGAUAGCCCGGCGAAAGCCGGAUUAAUACCGCAUACGAUCUACGGAUGAAAGCGGGGGACCUUCGGGCCUCGCGCUAUAGGGUUGGCCGAUGGCUGAUUAGCUAGUUGGUGGGGUAAAGGCCUACCAAGGCGACGAUCAGUAGCUGGUCUGAGAGGACGACCAGCCACACUGGGACUGAGACACGGCCCAGACUCCUACGGGAGGCAGCAGUGGGGAAUUUUGGACAAUGGGCGAAAGCCUGAUCCAGCAAUGCCGCGUGUGUGAAGAAGGCCUUCGGGUUGUAAAGCACUUUUGUCCGGAAAGAAAUCCUUGGCCCUAAUACGGUCGGGGGAUGACGGUACCGGAAGAAUAAGCACCGGCGAACUACGG
rnacentral:rRNA from 1 species